rnacentral:rRNA from 1 species
CCUACGGGAGGCCGCAGUGGGGGAUAUUGCACAAUGGGGGGAACCCUGAUGCAGCGACGCCGCGUGGGUGAAGGAGCGUUUCGGCGCGUAAAGCCCUAUCGGCAGGGAAGAAGGAGGACGGUACCUGACUAAGUAGCCCCGGCUCAAUACGUGCCAGCAGCCGCGGUAAUACGGAGGGGGCAAGCGUUAUCCGGUUUUACUGGGGGUAAAGGGGGCGCAGACGGCAGGGCAAGCCAGGAGGGAAAGCCCGGGGCCCAACCCCGGGACUGCUCUUGGGACUGCGCGGCGGGAGUGCAGGAGGGGCAGGCGGAAUUCCUGGUGUAGCGGUGAAAUGCGUAGAUAUCAGGAGGAACACCGGUGGCGAAGGCGGCCUGCUGGACUGCGACUGACGUUGAGGCCCGAAAGCGUGGGGAGCAAACAGGAUUAGAUACCCGAGUAGUC